CACAAGAGAAGAUAUUUGGAAAGGGGAUUUAGGGUUCAUUACCUUGUGACGAAUCAGAUUACCUCUGAAGGACUCGUCUCUCUCUCCCGCGCGAAGGCACAGACGGCGGCCGGAAUCGUCGUCCCGUCUCCGAUUACUCACUCCGCGUCACUCUCCGAAUCAAGUUCUCCUCACUUCAAUCUCUCUCGUCUCUGUUUCUUCACUUCUGCGUUUAUGCCAUUGGCGAUGAUGAUGUUAAGAUAGUUGAAGCUGUGGAGGAAGUUCAGUAUGAUGAAGAACGUGAAGAAGAUCGUUAUGAAGAAAAGAUGAUGAAGGUGUUGAUUGCGACGGCGAAGAAGCUAAAGAUUAUGUGUUGUUUUGAGGUUUUGAAGGUCGAAGAUCGAUGGAGAGUGCCGAGAAGAAGAUCGAGAGCGAGAGCAAGAGUUUGUUUUAUGAAUUGAAGAUGGAGGGAGAGUGAGAGUUGAUGGUGGCUGAUUGAAGGAUGAAGAAGUGUGAAGGUUGAAAGUUGCAGAGAGAGUUGAAGGGAGAAGAUGAAGAAGAGGUGGGAGAGAUGGCGUAGAGUGGUGGAGACGGGUGCGUGUGCUAUGGUGAAUGAAUGUGGAAGAUUGAAGGUUAAUGGUGGUUGGAGUUGCAGAGAUUGAAAGAGAGGAAGAAGAAACUGCUGAAGGAGGUGGAAGAGGACAUUGAGGUGGUGCAGUUGCUGUUAUAUAGAGGUUGGAGGUUAGAAUUCAGUUAUGGGGUUUUAAUCUGAGCCAAUGAUUGGGGAAAGGUUGUUACAUGAUUGAAGGGUGAGGAUUGAAUCUGCUCAAAGUGACAUAGCCUGCCCGGUUUAAGUUUCAAUCUGCACGAUGGCAUUGCUUGUAUGGAUGUUGGUUAUUGUCACAUACUGGUUUGGAUGCACGCAACAGAUACUGAAUUUCGGACAGAUUUCUCCGAGACUAACCGUGAUGCUGUAGGAACUCCCCAGUAUUUUGUAUGUCCAUAAUUCUCUUACCUGAUCUGACUUUGAAUGUUGAUUAGUGUCGAAUGGACUGUUUUUUGUAACUGUUUUUUUUGUGACUGUUAGAAAUGGUAUGGCUGAAUGUUGCAGGGCUGUGUUUGUAUUGUUUAUGUCCAGUUUUCCUCUUCCAACUUUCAAUUGUUAUGACUCUGAUAUUUUGGGGCUUUCUUUGGUUGAAUUGUGAGUAGCAUGAACAUGAGUGUAUUGUGGUACUUAUCUUGAGUGUAUGCUGACUGGUUUUUACGUCUUUCCGUGGCAGGUUCAUGGAGAAAAAUGAAGGAGAAUUUGCUUGAAGAAUUGAAGAAAGAAGUUUAGGGUUAGGAACAAAAGACUCGAACGAAAAUCAUUAGUUUUGUUGUAACAUUCUUCAUAAAUUAUGUAACUUUUGGUAUAAGAUGAAAUGGAUUUUUGUAAUGAAUUCGAAUUGUAAAUGUAACCGACUUUCGGGGCAUAUGUACAUGUAUGAACAAUUAUUUUUGUGA